AAAAUAUUUAAAGCGAAUAAGGGCGCAUGGUGGAUGCCUAGGAUCUAAGAGGCGACGAAGGACGUGGUAAGCUGCGAUAAGCUACGGGGAGCUGCAAACGAGCAUUACAUCCGUAGAUUUCCGAAUGGGACAACCCGGUACACUGAAGGUGUAUCACUCUGAAAAGAGAGCCAACGCAGGGAACUGAAACAUCUAAGUACCUGCAGGAAAAGAAAAUAAAAAUGAUUCCCCAAGUAGUGGCGAGCGAACAGGGAAGAGCCCAAACCGGGUCGAAGCAAUUCUACCCGGGGUUGUAGGACUACUUUUAGAAAGUCAGAUCAAGUUGAAUCAUCUGGAAAGAUGAGCCGUAGCAGGUGAUAGCCCUGUAGACAGAAAUUCUGAUGGACGUGUAGUAUCCUGAGUAGCGCGGGACCAGAGGAAUCCUGUGUGAAACUGUCAGUACCAUCUGAUAAGGCUAAAUACUCCUUAGAUACCGAUAGUGAACCAGUACCGUAAGGGAAAGGUGAAAAGUACUCCGAACAGGAGAGUGAAAUAGUUCCUGAAACCGUGCGCUUACAAGCGGUCGGAGCCAGUAAUGGUGACGGCGUGCCUUUUGCAUAAUGAGCCUACGAGUUACUCCUCACUGGCGAGGUUAAGGUCUUCAGUACCGGAGCCGUAGCGAAAGCAAGUUCUAACAGAGCGUAUAGUCAGUGGGGGUAGACGCGAAACUUUGUGAUCUAUCCAUGGGCAGGAUGAAGGUUAGGUAAAACUAACUGGAGGUCCGAACUCAUUAGCGUUGAAAAGCUAUGGGAUGACCUGUGGAUAGGGGUGAAAGGCCAAUCAAACUGAGAGAUAGCUCGUUCUCCCCGAAAUGUUUUUAGGAACAGCCUCGGAUAUAGACGUGUUAUAGAGGUAGAGCUACUAAUUGGGCUAGGGGGCUUCACCGCCUACCAAACCCUAAUAAACUCCGAAUGCUAUAACAUAAUCUCCGGGAGUGAGGCUGUGGGCGCUAAGGUCCAUGGCCGAGAGGGAAAUAACCCAGACUAACAGCUAAGGUCCCUAAUCAUAUGUUAAGUUGAACAAACGCGGUUCAAAUCCUAAAACAGCCAGGAUGUUGGCUUGGAAGCAGCCAUUCAUUUAAAGAGUGCGUAACAGCUCACUGGUCGAGGGUUUGGGCACGGAAAAUAAUCGGGCAUCAAACAUAUAACCGAAGCUUUAGGCCUAAUACUUAGGUAUUAGACGGUAGGGGAGCAUUCUAAACUGCAUCGAAGGUGUGUUGCGAGACAUGCUGGAGCGUUUAGAAAAGAAAAUGUAGGCAUAAGUAACGAUAAAUAAGAUGAAAAAUCUUAUCGCCGUAAGACUAAGGGUUCCUGAUCAACGCUAAUCGGAUCAGGGUUAGUCGGGUCCUUAGGCAAAGCCGAGAGGCGUAGCUGAUGGCAAACUGGUGAAUAUUCCAGUACCUGUUAUAAAUUCGAUGGAGUAACGGAGUAGUGAAAGGACUGCGCACUUACGGAAUAGUGCGUUAAAGGGAGUAG
rnacentral:rRNA from 1 species